GCUCGGGGAGGCUCCCAAACCCCUGCAGGGAGGGAUCCACAGUUUUAAGACAGCCUUGGGUGUGGGGAUGCAGACCUGGUCAGCUGGAGGGGUUCUGCUCGGCCAGUAGGUACCACUUCCUGCUCCCACAUCAGCCGGAGCGUGGCGUGAAGGGCUGGUGGCGGCGAGGACACACCGGGGGAUUACCGCCUGCCUGGAGCAGCAGCCUCAGAGCGAGGAGCCAUUCCAGAAUGAUGAUCGGCAAGCUGCCUCCUGGAUUCCUCUACUCUGUGCAACCCAGGACCCACCCCAGCUUUCAGGCCGUCGUACUUGCACGUGGGGGAAAAGGGGGUCUCAGGUGAGCAGAAGCACCUUGGAAGACGGGCACAUUUUUCUUCCAAAUGUAAUUUUGAUAGAGAUAAAAUUUACUUUCAAAGAAAAUUUAAUUUUGACGAUAGAAGGAUGGCAAAAUGCCUGAAGACAGCCACAUAACGUAAGAGGAAAUUCAUGUGGCCACUAACUGUGGUCCUGGUCUGCCAUCUACACGUAGUGCCUUUGCUCUGCAGAGACCUGAUGCCUGAUGUGUGUAGCUGGUCUCUGGAGGGAACGUGCCCCGAAGUGAUUCCCAGAGGAGCCGAUAUCUCUUCCAGAAUAAACCACCAG
rnacentral:lncRNA from 1 species